rnacentral:tRNA from 1 species
UAAGUAAUAGCUUAUAAAGCAUUUUAACUGUUAAUUAAAAUGAUGUAGAUUCCCUACUUACUUAG